UACAGGGGGUGCAAACGUUGCUCGGAAUCAUUGGGCGUAAAGCGCACGUAGGCGGUUUGUUAUGUCGGAUGUGAAAGCCCUUGGCUUAACUGAGGAAGUGCAUCCGAAACUGGCAGGCUAGAGUACUAAAGAGGGUCGCGGAAUUCCCGGUGUAGAGGUGAAAUUCGUAGAUAUCGGGAGGAACACCGGUGGCGAAGGCGGAUCUCUGGGCCAUUACUGACGCUGAGGAGCGAAAGCGUGGGGAGCGAACAGG
rnacentral:rRNA from 1 species